GGAUCCAGACUUUGAUUAUGGCUCAGGACGAACGCUGGCGGCGUGCUUAACACAUGCAAGUCGAACGAGAGGAGAAGGAAGCUUGCUUCUUGCAAAUCUAGUGGCAAACGGGUGAGUAACACGUAAACAACCUGCCUUCAGGAUGGGGACAACAGACGGAAACGACUGCUAAUACCGAAUACGUUCCUUAGGUCGCAUGACUUUAGGAAGAAAGGGUGGCCUCUACUUGUAAGCUAUCGCCUGAAGAGGGGUUUGCGUCUGAUUAGGUAGUUGGUGAGGUAACGGCCCACCAAGCCGACGAUCAGUAGCCGGUCUGAGAGGAUGAACGGCCACACUGGAACUGAGACACGGUCCAGACUCCUACGGGAGGCAGCAGUGGGGAAUCUUCCGCAAUGGGCGAAAGCCUGACGGAGCAACGCCGCGUGAGUGAUGACGGCCUUCGGGUUGUAAAGCUCUGUGAUCGGGGACGAACGGUCAGCAGACGAAUACUCUGCUGAAGUGACGGUACCCGAAUAGCAAGCCACGGCUAACUACGUGCCAGCAGCCGCGGUAAUACGUAGGUGGCAAGCGUUGUCCGGAAUUAUUGGGCGUAAAGCGCGCGCAGGCGGCUUCUUAAGUCCAUCUUAAAAGUGCGGGGCUUAACCCCGUGAUGGGAUGGAAACUGAGAGGCUGGAGUAUCGGAGAGGAAAGUGGAAUUCCUAGUGUAGCGGUGAAAUGCGUAGAGAUUAGGAAGAACACCGGUGGCGAAGGCGACUUUCCGGACGACAACUGACGCUGAGGCGCGAAAGCGUGGGGAGCAAACAGGAUUAGAUACCCUGGUAGUCCACGCUGUAAACGAUGAAUACUAGGUGUAGGAGGUAUCGACCCCUUCUGUGCCGGAGCUAACACAAUAAGUAUUCCGCCUGGGAAGUACGAUCGCAAGAUUACAACUCAAAUGAAUUGACGG
rnacentral:rRNA from 1 species